rnacentral:rRNA from 1 species
CCCUUAGAUGUUCUGGGCCGCACGCGCGCUACACUGAUGCAUUCAACGAGCCUAUCCUUGACCGACAGGUCCGGGUAAUCUUUGAAUCUGCAUCGUGACGGGGAUAGAUUAUUGCAAUUAUUAAUCUUCAACGAGGAAUGCCUAGUAGGCGCAAGUCAUCAGCUUGCGUCGAUUACGUCCCUGCCCUUUGUACACACCGCCCGUCGCUCCUACCGAUUGGGUGUGCUGGUGAAAUGUUCGGAUCGGCCGUUUGUCGCGGUUUCCGCGUCAUGUGGCUGAGACGUUCAUUAAACCCUCCCACCGAGAGGAAGGAGAAGUCGUAACA